CACAUGACUCUCGGCAACGGAUAUCUCGGCUCUCGCAUCGAUGAAGAACGUAGCAAAAUGCGAUACCUGGUGUGAAUUGCAGAAUCCCGUGAACCAUCGAGUUUUUGAACGCAAGUUGCGCCCGAGGCCAUCUGGCUGAGGGCACGUCUGCCUGGGCGUCACGC
rnacentral:rRNA from 1 species